rnacentral:rRNA from 1 species
UACGAAGGGGGCUAGCGUUGCUCGGAAUCACUGGGCGUAAAGCGCACGUAGGCGGAUCGUUAAGUCAGGGGUGAAAUCCUGGAGCUUAACUCCAGAACUGCCUUUGAUACUGGCGACCUUGAGUUCGGGAGAGGUGAGUGGAACUGCGAGUGUAGAGGUGAAAUUCGUAGAUAUUCGCAAGAACACCAGUGGCGAAGGCGGCUCACUGGCCCGAUACUGACGCUGAGGUGCGAAAGCGUGGGGAGCAAACAGG